UGACACACUCACCCGAGUGAAAGCCCACUG
rnacentral:piRNA from 1 species